AAAAAGAGAUAGGGUGGGCUAAGCCUAGGCCUAAGCUACUUUUAAAUGAUAAGCCAAACGUCUCUUUUCUUAUCACUUAAAAAAAAACCCAUUACUGCACUUGGCUAUGGGCCUGAAUGAAUGAACACUCAAACUGUGCACAAACUGUUAAGUUGUAAGUCAUUAUUUGUCAAAUGUGAUAAGCCUACCGUGAACCCCGUUAACAACGCAACCGGCACACUCUUAAAUCCAAUAUGGAUGCCAACUAGGAAGAGAAAGGAACGCUGGGUGCAAUUUUUACAGGAAAUACUUUCGUCGCGGACUCGCGGACUCCUGCAUUUGUAAAGGGCUGCCAUUUUACGGAGCUUACGGAGCGGCAGAACCAUGAGCCAUGAGAAGGUACAGAUCAUAUCUCUGUCCCACCACCAGACUCUCCUGAAGGAGAUGCAUCAGCUGAGAAACUUGGGCCACCUGUGUGACAUAACUGUGCAGGUGGACCACAAGGGUGAUAUGAGGGAGUUUGAGGCCCACCAAGUGGUGCUAGCCGCAUCAAGUGGCUACUUUAAAAGCAUCCUCGUUGCAGAGGAAUCUGUCAAAAAAGCGCUGUUGUGUGACGUGCCCACUGCCGUUUUCGAUGCUUUCCUGCAGUACGUGUACACAGGUCAAAUCGAGGUGGAGAACACAAUGAUACACAACAUUUUUAAAAUGGCAGAGUUAUUAGAGUGUGUUGACCUUGUUAAUGCGUGCAAGGCAGUGAGUGGCCUUACAGUGGCUAAUGAUACAGAGAGACUACACCCUGAUGACUUGACUGAACCAAAAUCUUAUGAGACUACUUCUCCAACGACUCGAGGUAGAAAGUCAACCCAAAGCAAACAAGCAACAAGCAAAUCGAGCAAAGAUCCCCCGGUCUCCACAGGGCUGGAGAAGACGCCACAGAAGAGGAGAAAGGACGAGGACGCAGGAAAGAAGAGUAAGGAUGCAGGGGAGAAGAGUAAGGACACAAGGAAGAAGAGUAAGGAUGCAGGGAAGGACACAAGGAAGGAGAGUAAGGAUGCAGGGGAGAAGAGUAAGGAUGCAGGGAAGGACACAAGGAAGAAGAGUAAGGACGCAGGGAAGGACGCAGGGGAGAAGAGUAAGGACGCAGGGAAGGAGAGUAAGGACGCAGGGGAGAGUGGCAAGGAGGCACAAGGCAGGAGACUGAGCAACAGGCUCACCAGCCGCAAGAAGUCUCCAAGUAGUCCUAAAGCCAAGCGUCCCAGGAGAGGGAAACCCAAAGCCAGCGAGGGGUCAAGCGACACUGCCCAGGUUGGGUCCGAGAGCACAGAAUUAACAGCAGCCUUACUGGACACUGCCCAGGUUGGGACUGAGAGCACAGAAUUAACAGCAGCCCUACUGGACACUGCCCAGGUUGGGACCGAGAGUACUGAAUUAACAGUAGCCCUACUGGGCAUUGAACAGAAUGACACUGCCCAGGUUGGGACCGAGAGCACAGAAUUAACAUCAGUCCUACUGGACACUGCCCAGGUUGGGGAUGAGAGCACAGAAUUAACAGCAGCCCUACUGGGCAUUGAACAGAGUGAAAAAGGUAGGUUGGUCAGACAGUCUUCGACCAGCGACAACGACAGUGACAGCGACUCCUCCUGCUCGUUAUCGUCCUCAUCGUCCUUCUCUCCUCCGAAAGCUGCCCCUCGAGACAGCUCUCAGAAGGACAAGGCGGGUGUUCCGCGGGAGAAAUAUAUCUGCGAGAACGAGUCGUGCAAUCGGUCCUUCCUGUACGAGAAGAGCUACCUGAAGCACCUGUCGAAGACCCACGGUGAGCGGGCCGAGGUGACGUACCGCUGCGGCACGUGCCAGCACGUCUUCGCCAACCGCAGCAACCUCAAGAUCCACGAGCAGCACGUGCACAGCGAGGAGCGUUGCUACCUGUGCGACGUCUGCGGCAAGGGGUUCAAGCGCAAGAAGGACGUGCGGCGGCACCAGAAGCAGGUGCACGAGGGCGGCAGCCAGCGUCACAUGUGUCCCACGUGCGGCAAGGCGCUGAGCUCGCGCACGGCCCUCAAGCUGCACGAGCGCACGCACACCGGCUACAAGCCCUUUGAGUGCGGCGAGUGCAACGCCAAGUUCUCACAGAGCUCCGCGCUCAAGACGCACAAGAGGAUCCACACUGGAGAGAAGCCAUUUGCCUGCGACGAAUGUGACGCCAAAUUCACCCAGAACCACAUGCUGCUUUACCACAAGCGCUGCCACACAGGUGAGAGGCCCUUUAUGUGUGAGAUCUGUGGGAAGAACUUUGCUUCUAAGGAGUACCUGAAGCACCACGCCAGGCUUCAUUCAGGCUACAAACCGUACAAGUGCGAGAUCUGUGAAAGACCCUUCGCCCAGAGAAACUCCUUACACCAGCACAUGAAAACACACACAGGAGAGCGUCCAUACCAAUGCACGGAAUGCGAUAAGAAUUUCACGCAGCUGAACGCGCUCCAGAGACACCAGCGCAUCCACACGGGAGAGAAGCCGUACAUGUGCACACUCUGCAACCGCACCUUCACCGACAAGUCCACCAUGCGUCGGCACGCCCUGACCCAUGACAAAGAGACACCGUGGAGGAACUUCCUGAAGGUGCUAAAGGACAACGUGGAAGACCGGGGCGUCAAGAAGGCCCGGGCGCCCGCAGUGAAAAGGAAGAAGAGUGCCCCCAAAGAGGAGCCCCCCACCACGCCAGGUCGCCGCAAGACCAGGUCCCAGAACACCGUGAUGGCCGAGACCGUGGCGCUGACCGCAGAGUGGGGCAGCCAUGGCACCAUCGCGCUGGUGGGCCCCGGUGAUCUGAGCGGCUUCGCCGUCAUCCAGACCGAGGGUCCCGGCGGCGUGCAGCUGCAGUCUCUGGUGACGGCGGAGGGGGUGCCGGUCACCGUGCCGCUCUCCCUCCCCAUCUCUGUGUCCCACGCCGUCGCCACUACCGUCUCCUCGUCCACUAGCAGUGCUGCCACCGCUACCACCACCACUAAAACCACAAUCCCCAUGCCCGCAUCAGACCGUCCGGGGACAGUCACGGUUGCGUCACCGACCCUGGAGGCGGCGUUGUUGGCCGGGGAGAUCCAGUGUGUGACAGUGGGGGAGACGGACCUGACGGAGGAGGCCGCGGGCGACGGCUCGGGCUCUAGCGUCCAAUUGGCCGUGACUGGGGACAUCCAGGAGUGUGAGACCACGGGAAACAUGGAGGCCAUGGAGGUGACAACGUGCGUCACCUCUGAGUAGCCAUGGAGACAGACAGACAGGAGACAGUUCUGCAUCACUGCACCAAACCAUCAAGGGAACUCUCCUCUCUCUGCUCUGACAAUCCAUGUUGAACUCUCUCCCUCACACACACACACACACACACACACACACACACACACACACAGACACACACACACACACAUCAGGUAUUAGAGGUUGUAAAUGGAUUUUUGCUUGUGUCAAAUAACAGUUUCAGUCAAAUUACAUAGACAGCAAGCAUACAAAGUCGUUCUGAAAUAGAUCACAUUCUGUUUGCAGCCUUAAUAACAUACACACAAAGUGACAUGUUGCCAAGAAAACAGUAUAAUGGGAUUUGCCUUGACCAGACAAGACCAAACUGAACUUCAUGUUCUUUUCCCAGCCUUAACCAUGCAUUUACCACAGUAUAUGAUCCUUACAAAGUAACAUCAUAUCAGUAUCACACUAUUAAUUUUACAUAUAUACACACAUACAUACACACACACAUAUAUGUAUACAUAUAUGUGUGUGUGUUUGUCUUUGUAAAAACAUGUUUUGCUUCAUAAAGGUUUAAACCUAUGACCUGAUGUACAGUUAUAUAUAUAUAUAUAUAUAUUCAGUCUUUUUACCUUCAUGGAAACUAAAAUAUGACAAAUGAUAUGAAAUUUGUGUUUUUUUCUUCCAUACACACUAGCAAUCGCAAAAGAAGCGCUUUAUGAUGCAUAGACAGAUGGUUCUCAACUAGUAUGCCAUGAGGCAAGGUGAGGUGUGUCGUAGAAUUUUGAGAAACCCAAUGCAUUUUUAUACAGGCUCAUGAAAUAUAUAUUUUAAAUAUUAUAAAUAACCCCGUUUCUUAAUUAAAACGGUUUUAGGUGGCCAUAAAGUGAUACAGAGCCAUUACGCAGCUCAGUCAACAUCAUGAGCGGCAGAACCAUGAGCCGUGAGAAGGUACAGAUCAUAUCUCUGUCCCA